UAUUCCGGUAAAGAAAAUCUUUGAAUCUCCAUAGUUUUGAAAAUUCAGUGGAAUUACUCCUUUUACAUACCUCAGGAUUGUCCGGUGAAGCUUCAGUUGUUAUAUUUUUCGACCAUUCACAAAAUUCAGUGCAAAACAUGAGCUCUAUUCCCUAAAAGUGCAACGCUUUUAAAUACUUGAGGGACUAUUAUCGCUCUACAUGAUAUUUAAAGGGCCACUUUAAUCCAAUGGUUAGACUUGAGGGACUAAUUUGGCCUAUUAGUUGUCGAUAAAAAGAAAGGUAACGACUAACGAGUACUGUUCUCAGAAUUACACUUCAAACUUGCUAAUACCAAACUUUCAAGAACUAAAAUUUCUCAAGAACCCAAAAAUGGAAUCUGAAAGAGAUGAUCCAAAAAGGAGCAAGAUCCAAUUUUUUCAAGAACCCAGUAAACGUUCACCAUUUCCAUCAACUUUAAUGCAAGAUUCAACCUUGUCAAUUCCUACUCUUCCACCAGAACUCAUCACUGAAAUCUUGUCCAGGCUUCCUGUGAAAUCCUCUUGCAAUUCAGGUGUGUUUCAAAAUACUGGCUUGGUGUAAUAUCUAGCCCUCAAUUUAUCAAGACCUAUCUCAGUUUAUCCUUUAAUAACAAGGAAUACACCCACCAUAUGCUUUUGUAUAUGCCUCAUCCUGCGUUACCUCUUAAAUCUUGUACUCUUAGGUCUUUGUUUUAUCAGAAUGUUACUGAGUCAUUCGAUUUGGAUUGUCCCAUGAAAUACAAUUAUUUGUACGAGAAAUUUCCUUGGCCUGACUGGAUUUCAGGUUCCGUCAAUGGGUUGAUUUGUUUUGCUGCUGGGGAGAAUGACUUGUUUAUAGGGAACCCAUCAAUUAGAAAGUACAGGAAAUUGCCUUAUCCUAGAUCUAUUUUAAUGAAGUCUGUUCGCUGGCCAAGAUAUAGUUUUGGAUAUGAUGAAUUUCAUGACGAUUAUAAAGUAGUGGGUGUUUUUACUAAUUGUUACAUUUCUGAUCAAGAUGAGACACAUAUAUGUCUAAAAGAUGAUUCUUGGAGAAGUGUUGAUGAUUGUCCGAGUGAGAUACUAUUAAAUGGUUCUGGCAUUUUUUUGACUGGGAAAUUGCGUUGGGAUACUGCUGCUCCUGGUCUAAAUGUGUAUAAUGGCGGUAACGUCUAUUCUUUUGAUUUGGCUGACGAGAAAUGGAGAAAGACAGUGGAGCAGCGUUCCUAUCAAGGAGGAGGUUUCGUUUCGUGGUUGACAGUGUUGGCAAGUGAUCUUUCUAUCUUUUGCGAUUAUGAGGGAACUCAUAUAGAUGUUUGGGUGAUGGAGAAGUACGGGGUUAAAGAAUCUUGGACAAUAAUGUUUUGCCAUCAAAUGUCCUGGUAAUGAAGUGAAGAUUGAUAGUCUAUCUCAUCCGCUCUUUUUUAUGUCAAAAAAGGGUGAAAUUUUGGUUGUGCUUGGAUGUAUUAGCAUGAUAUACAAUCCGAAGGAUGAAUCGAUAAGAUAUUCAGAGGUUAUUAACUUUGAUCGUGAUUAUGAGGCGGAAAUAUACGUUGAAAGCCUGGUUUCUCCUUUUUUUAACAGAAGAGUGUGAGGAUGCAAUGGAAAACAAAAAGCUGAAAACCUCAGAUCAAGAUAAUCGAGUUACAAAAAUCUUGGUCAUUGUUUGAUCUGGAGCUUUCAUUGCUAAUCCCUUUCAAAGUGAAACUUAAUAGGGAAAAGGAGGAAUCAUCGCUAAGAGAAGUGAAAGCUGUUGGUAAACAACCAAUCCAUCCACCUGUCGACUGCUUGAAAUCAAAAUAGUGAAGCCUGGGGUUUUCCCCCUGCUCCCAACGUUCAUUGAAUGUACUGUUAUUGCCAUGUGCAUAGAGGAAGACUUACCUAUGUUACCUACUUUUGCUAAUUGCCUAUCCCAUAUUGUCAUCGUUGUAGCUUGAACAUGUCAUGAAAAAGGUGGAACAAGCUCCUCAUUCUGUUGUAUUUCAGUUGAAUAUAGUAUCUUGAGAUUGUCGUGACAAAAGAUUGAAAAGCGUCUCCUAUGCUUUAAUAUUUUCUUUUUGUAUGUAGUAUCUUGAGAUUGAAUGGAAAUACAAGUUUAAUCUUCCCUCAGCUA